rnacentral:misc_RNA from 1 species
AAAGAUCGCAGCCUUCGGCAGCUCCUACACGGGAUUUAUGUUCACCCUGUAGGAGCUGCCGAAGGCUGCGAUCUUU